rnacentral:rRNA from 1 species
UCCACGCCGUAAACGAUGAGUGCUAAGUGUUGGAGGGUUUCCGCCCUUCAGUGCUGCAGCUAACGCAUUAAGCACUCCGCCUGGGGAGUACGACCGCAAGGUUGAAACUCAAAGGAAUUGACGGGGGCCCGCACAAGCGGUGGAGCAUGUGGUUUAAUUCGAAGCAACGCGAAGAACCUUACCAGGUCUUGACAUCCUUUGACCACUCUAGAGAUAGAGCUUCCCCUUCGGGGGCAAAGUGACAGGUGGUGCAUGGUUG